rnacentral:rRNA from 1 species
UACGGAGGAUGCAAGCGUUAUCCGGAUUUAUUGGGUUUAAAGGGUGCGUAGGCGGGUUUUUAAGUCAGUGGUGAAAUCUUGUAGCUUAACUAUAAAACUGCCAUUGAUACUGAGAAUCUUGAGUAUACUUGAAGUGGGCGGAAUGUACAGUGUAGCGGUGAAAUGCUUAGAUAUUGUACAGAACACCGAUUGCGUAGGCAGCUCACUAAAUUAUUACUGACGCUGAGGCACGAAAGCGUGGGGAUCAAACAGG